UGNNGCAGCGAUGCCGCGUGAGUGAAGAAGGNCUUCGGGUUGUAAAGCUCUUUCAGUAGGGAAGAUUGUGACGGUACCUACAGAAGAAGCUCCGGCUAACUCCGUGCCAGCAGCCGCGGUAAUACGGAGGGGGCGAGCGUUGUUCGGAAUUAUUGGGCGUAAAGAGCNUGNAGGCGGUUUGACAAGUCAGAAGUGAAAUCUCCGGGCUCAACCNGGNAAUUGCUUUUGAAACUAUCUUACUGGAGACNGGUAGAGGAUGGUGGAAUUCCCCGUGUAGAGGUGAAAUUCGUAGAUAUGGGGAGGAAGACCNNAGGCGAAGGCGGCCAUCUGGACCNGUACUGACGCUGAGNNGCGAAAGCGUGGGGAGCAAACAGGAUUAGAUACCCUGGUAGUCCACGCCGUAAACGAUGAGUGCUAGUUAUCGCGGGUAUCGACCCCUGCGGUAACGAAGUUAACGCGUUAAGCACUCCGCCUGGGGAGUACGGCCGCAAGGNUAAAACUCAAA
rnacentral:rRNA from 1 species